UGGGGAAUUUUGGACAAUGGGCGAAAGCCUGAUCCAGCAAUGCCGCGUGUGUGAAGAAGGCCUUCGGGUUGUAAAGCACUUUUGUCCGGAAAGAAAUCCUUGGCUCUAAUACAGUCGGGGGAUGACGGUACCGGAAGAAUAAGCACCGGCUAACUACGUGCCAGCAGCCGCGGUAAUACGUAGGGUGCAAGCGUUAAUCGGAAUUACUGGGCGUAAAGCGUGCGCAGGCGGUUUGCUAAGACCGAUGUGAAAUCCCCGGGCUCAACCUGGGAACUGCAUUGGUGACUGGCAGGCUAGAGUAUGGCAGAGGGGGGUAGAAUUCCACGUGUAGCAGUGAAAUGCGUAGAGAUGUGGAGGAAUACCGAUGGCGAAGGCAGCCCCUGGGCCAAUACUGACGCUCAUGCACGAAAGCGUGGGGAGCAAACAGGAUUAGAUACCCUGGUAGUCCACGCCCUAAAACGAUGUCAACUAGUUGUUGGGGAUUCAUUUCCUUAGUAACGUAGCUAACGCGUGAAGUUGACCGCCUGGGGAGUACGGUCGCAAGAUUAAAACUCAAAUGAAUUGACGGGGUCAUAGCUG
rnacentral:rRNA from 1 species